rnacentral:rRNA from 1 species
UACGGGGGGUGCGAGCGUUGUCCGGAAUUACUGGGCGUAAAGCGCGCGUAGGCGGCUUUGCAAGUCGGGUGUGAAAUCCCCAGGCUUAACCUGGGAACUGCAUUCGAGACUGCAUUGCUAGAGUAUGGGAGAGGGAAGUGGAAUUUCCGGUGUAGCGGUGAAAUGCGUAGAUAUCGGAAGGAACAUCAGUGGCGAAAGCGACUUCCUGGACCAAUACUGACGCUCAUGUGCGAAAGCGUGGGGAGCAAACAGG